UCCAUGAUAAUAACAUACUUCUUGGAAGAUAUAUUAAGUUACAAAUUGAAACUUGAAAGUGAACCAAAAUCUAUACAGAAAGCAAUAAAACUGAAACUAUAUAGUAAAAAAAGACAGAAUUCCUAUAGCUAUACCACCUUUUUCAUUUGAAUAAUUGAUCAGCUUUGAUACAACACCAUCACAAACCCACAUGGCAAAAUGUUAAUGGAAAAUAUAAAGGAAAUUUAAUACAUCAAAAGUGAAGAGAAAAAAAAUGUAAAUUUUAAACAAAGUUAUGGGAAAGUUGUAAUAUCUAAGGAGAAUUUAGAUUCAAUUAAAGUGUAUAUGAAUGCCUAUUGCAACAACCAAGAUGGUAAGUAUACAAAAGUAUAUGAUAGCAUGAAUCAAAAUUGAAAUCCCACUAGUACUCAUGUUACCAAACUCCACAACCCUAAUCCUUGCAGGAAAUUGGAACAGCAAACCUGGAGAUAAAAGAAUGAACAAACCCACUGCAACAAUUACUGGUCCCCAAUCAGCUCCCAUCUCUAUCUUUUUCUUUCUUCACUUCACUAUCUCUCUAAUUUUUCCUUUGUCUUGAAUGUUACAAUAAUAAGCCAAUAAUGGACCAUGAUAAGUAUACAAGAGUUUCUUGGUGGUUAAGGAGAAGAUGAUACUAAACUUGGUGACAUAAAAGCUAAUGUUUAAGAAAAGAAGAAAGGUAUGUUUAGUGCUAGUGGGUUUGCUUUAUU
rnacentral:lncRNA from 1 species